rnacentral:rRNA from 1 species
GACGAACGCUGGCGGCGUGCUUAACACAUGCAAGUCGAACGGAAAGGCCCUGCUUUUGUGGGGUGCUCGAGUGGCGAACGGGUGAGUAACACGUGAGUAACCUGCCCUUGACUUUGGGAUAACUUCAGGAAACUGGGGCUAAUACCGGAUAGGAGCUCCCGCUGCAUGGUGGGGGUUGGAAAGUUUCGGCGGGUGGGGAUGGACUCGCGGCUUAUCAGCUUGUUGGUGGGGUAGUGGCUUACCCAGGCUUUGACGGGUAGCCGGCCUGAGAGGGUGACCGGCCACAUUGGGACUGCGAUACGGCCCAGACUCCUACGGGAGGCAGCAGUGGGGAAUAUUGCACAAUGGGCGGAAGCCUGAUGCAGCAACGCCGCGUGCGGGAUGACGGCUUUCGGGUUGCAAACCGCUUUCGCCUGUGACGAAGCGUGAGUGACGGUAAUGGGUAAAGAAGCACCGGCUAACUACGUG